GUGGAUGGCAUGGCCGACCAUGGUACAGCUGAGGUACCCACCUCAAUGGCAGCUAAUUGAUGUGCAGCAAUAAAUCUGAAAGUUGGCAAGUGAGAGUCGUGCAGGGAUUGUGUGCCUUGGAGCAGCAGAACUUUAUUUUGGCAGUGCAAACUCAGACUCACACUCACACUCACACACUCCAAUUACUCCAAGAGAGCCCCCAGUCUGGUUAAGUGGGGCUAAUCCGCAGCAGCAGCCGCGGAACCAACGCCAACACGUUGCGAGGAUGUUGCCCGUUGCCCGUUGCCCGUCUCCGUACCCGCCGAGAAUGAGCUUGAAGAUGUGGCCAAAGGGGAGGCGCCGUGCCGGGUGACACAUGCAGGCUAUCUGUUGCCAUAAAAGCAGCCACAGCAACGCGGAUAAAAGCAGCUUUCACGGAGCAGCAACCAUGGCAAGAAAUGGCAUGCAAGUGGUUAAAUUUGUGGAUACAAAAGAAGGAUGGAAAUAUUUACAUUAGAAAAUAAUUUAUAGUAGUACAAAAUAACUGCCAAAUAUACAAUACAUUAGUUUUAUACACACUUUCU
rnacentral:lncRNA from 1 species